GAAGCUGAAGCUGGGAGAGCUUUCGUAAUCACUUGCUAAACUUUGACAUAGUCCUUUGUGGCUACACCGUCAUUUGAGCCUCAGAAAAUGAACAGUGCUUUUAGGGUCACUAGCCUUUGGCUAUAGAUUCUCUGCAACAUGUCCCUAGGAGAGGAACCGGCUUAAAGCAGCCCAAAGGUUGGCUUUGCCAGGGAGAGGUCUCAUGAGCAACUGAACUGUGGCAUCUUCAGUGGUCAUCGCUGCUAACCAUAACAGAGUUUGGCUCGAGGUCUCUCCAGCACCAUCCUGUCGCAGUUUUUGAUGAUUUCAAUAUCCGUACUGAUGAGACUUCCAAUAUCCGGCCGUGGCAGUUGCUUGAACACAGAUCUGCAUAGAUCUCACGCUCCACGAUACCCAGUGGCUGUGCCCAGAUGUUGUCCUUGCCACUCCUCAGCACCAUCUCACUUCCCAAUUCGGCGAGAAAACAGAAGCCACCAAGAGACUAAAAGCUCCUAAUUCACCACCACGCUCCGCUGUGCCCUCCUCCUGUCAGUAGUGAUGAACUGAUGAUCAUGCUCCCAGCUAAGGUCAACCUGCCACUACAUCCCAUUUAAUCGUCUUGUUUUCUCUUUUCAUUGGCUCAUUCCCACAGAUAUACAAAUAUGCUUUUUUUUCCCCCCGUCUUGUCUUAAAAAGGAAAAAAAAAAUCUUUUUUGAAUACA